rnacentral:rRNA from 1 species
UACGUAGGUGGCAAGCGUUGUCCGGAUUUAUUGGGCGUAAAGAGCGUGUAGGCGGCCAGGUAGGUCCGCUGUGAAAACUCGAGGCUCAACCUCGAGAUGUCGGCGGAAACCAUCUGGCUAGAGUCCGGAAGAGGAAAGUGGAAUUCCCGGUGUAGCGGUGAAAUGCGCAGAUAUCGGAAAGAACACCAACGGCGAAAGCACUCUGCUGGGCCGACACUGACACUGAGAGACGAAAGCUAGGGGAGCAAAUGGG